rnacentral:rRNA from 1 species
GCAGCAGCCGCGGUAAUACGAAGGGUGCAAGCGUUACUCGGAAUUACUGGGCGUAAAGCGUGCGUAGGUGGUGGUUUAAGUCCGUUGUGAAAGCCCUGGGCUCAACCUGGGAAUUGCAGUGGAUACUGGGUCACUAGAGUGUGGUAGAGGAUAGUGGAAUUUCCGGUGUAGCAGUGAAAUGCGUAGAGAUCGGAAGGAACAUCUGUGGCGAAGGCGACUAUCUGGGCCAACACUGACACUGAGGCACGAAAGCGUGGGGAGCAAACAGGAUUAGAUACCCCCGUAGUCCCUGUCUCUUAUCC